UACUAGAGUAGCACUCGCAUAUCAAUAAGCGGAGGAAAAGAAACUAACAAGGAUUCCCCUAGUAACGGCGAGUGAAGCGGGAAGAGCUCAAAUUUGAAAUCUUAAAGGGUUUCCCUUUACGAAUUGUAGUUUAAAGAAGUGUUUUCUGUUGAGGUUUUGGUAAAAGUUCUUUGGAAUAGGACAUCAUAGAGGGUGAGAAUCCCGUAUUUGACCUUUACUUUCAACUUUGUGAUACACUUUCAAAGAGUCGGAUUGUUUGGGAAUGCAGUCCAAAAUGGGUGGUAAAUUUCAUCUAAAGCUAAAUAUUGGCGAGAGACCGAUAGCGAACAAGUACCGUGAGGGAAAGAUGAAAGAACUUUGAAAAGAGAGUUAAACAGUACGUGAAAUUGUCAAAAGGGAAGCGUUUGACACCAGUGUUGUUUUUCUGAAAAUCAAUUAAAGAACUGUUUAUGCUAAGCUGUUUAGACUUUAUCAGCUAUCUGUUUAGUUUCGAGCUUUUCUUUAAUGCACUUUUCAGUUAACAAGUCAACAUCAAUUUCUUUUGCUGUAAAAAAGCUUGAGGAAGGUGGCUUGAGAUUCGUCUUAAGUGUUUAUAGCCUCUUGCCUAUGCAGUCGGAGAGAUUGAGGUCUGCAGCGUAGAUCCUUCGGGGCUAAAUGCAUUUGUGCUAAGUUAUAGCAUUUUAUAGACAACUUGUUGACUAUGAUUUGUCUUGUAGCUUACUCGCUUAUGUUAUUUUACCUACGCUUAGGAUGUUGAGUCAUCACACAUCUCU
rnacentral:rRNA from 1 species